ensembl:lncRNA
GGAACUCUAGUUAAGUGAUUUCCUGGAAUCCCUGCUACUCUGGAUUACAGAUGGAGCUGAGGAUAGGCACCUGGCAAAAGCCAGUGGGGAAGGGUCUUGUUUUAUUCCAUUUUGGUGCUGAGGAGCGAACCAGGUUCCUAUGUAUGGAGAUCAAGCAUUCAACCACUGAGCUCUAUCUCCAGCUGCAGAGAGAAGGAUUUUAUGUGCUAUCCUAUGGAGACUGUCUUGUAGAAAAUGGGACUUUCAGAGGAUUACAGGUGAGAAGAACUUUGAAAGUAGGCUGGGAAAGAUACAUGAACACAGUUAAAGAAAGAUUCAGUUACCUGUGGUCAACAUGGCCCAAAAAAUAUGAAAUGGAAAAUUCCAGGAAAACAUUUCAUAGCUUUUAUACAACUUUUACUGCAGCAUAUCAAUUUGAGGUGGCAUGGGAAUUUGGACGAAGGGGCGACAGAGUUCCUGCUUCCCAAAGUCCGGAGACUCAGCUGAUGGCCUGGAGGCUGGCGACAGAGCCCAGAAGACCUGUUUAUUUAUUUAUUUUUUACUUAAAUUCUUUUAUUGGUACAUUUUAGGUAUACAGUGUGUUUACAUUUAUCAUUGGG